rnacentral:lncRNA from 1 species
UGUGUAUACUCUACUCCUACAGUGGACCAACUGUCAUCAACAUCUACUACAAAGACUCAUUGCAUCAAUGUUUAUGUGUUGUCAAACUCCAGCAGCCACACUGCGAGCAGCUAUAGCACCGCAGGUCAAAAGACCAGUCAUACAACUGCAGCAUCGAGAAAGUCACUAACGAGUGAGCAAACAUCCAUGUGACUUCUGAUGUUGGUCAUGCUCAGUGCUAGUUGUUCUCUAACAACCACCUGCACUCUCGCUCC